ensembl:misc_RNA Metazoa_SRP Metazoan signal recognition particle RNA
GCCAGGUGUGGUGGUGCAUGCCUGUAGUCCCAGCUACUUGGGAGGCUGAGGUGGGAGGAUCACUUGAGCCCAGGAGGUCAAGGCUGCAGUGAGCCAAGAUUAUGCCACUGCACUCCAGCCUGGGUGAUAGAGUAAGAUCCUGCCUCAA